rnacentral:rRNA from 1 species
UACAGAGGUCUCAAGCGUUGUUCGGAUUCAUUGGGCGUAAAGGGUGCGUAGGUGGCGGGGCAAGUUUGGUGUGAAAUCCCGGGGCUCAACCCGGAACUGCACUGAAUACUGCCUUGCUUGAGCACUGGAGAGGGAACUGGAAUUUACGGUGUAGCAGUGAAAUGCGUAGAUAUCGUAAGGAAGACCAGUGGCGAAGGCGAGUUCCUGGACAGUUGCUGACACUGAGGCACGAAGGCUAGGGGAGCAAACAGG